CUUAAUUGGAUUGAAGGAUGCAAAGUAUUGCUCCUGGAUGUGUCUGUGAGGGUGUUGCCAAAGGAGAUUAACAUGUGGGUCAGUGGACUGGGAGAGGCAGACCCACCCUCAAUCUGAGUGGGCACCAUCUAAUCAGCUGCCAGCCAGCCAGGACAAAAGCAGGCAGAGGAACAUGGAAGGACUGGACUUACUGAGUCUUCUGGCCUCCAUCUUUCUCCAGUUCUGGAUGCUUCCUGCCCUCGAACAUCAGACUCCACAUUCUUCAGCUCUUUGACUCUUGAACAUACACCAGUGAUUUUCCAGGGACUCUCAGGCCUUUGGCCACAGACUGAAGGCUGCUCUGUCGGCUUCCCUACUUUUGAGGUUUUGGGACUCACACUGGCUUCCUUGCUCUUCAGCUUGUAGAUGGCCUAUUGAGGGACUUCGCCUUGUAAUCAGGAUUUACGACUACCCGUCUUCUCUCAGACUCUGCUCCUGGGAUGUAACAUUCAUUGCUUGCUAUGUCUAUACCUCACUACAUGCAAUGCACCUUUAGAAGACUGUCUCCUUACUCCAUAAUGGAAUUUGUCUCUGACCUAUUGCAGCUAUGAGAUAAGCAUUACCUGCCCCAGAGGCUACCUGCCACUCAGUGAAGAUCAUAUGCCUAAGUCAUGACAUCAACAUCAAACUCUCUUCAAAUCUGGGAGAAAGGCUCAGCUCUUACAACCAGGACAAGAAGAAAUGACACCAGUAGAGAGAUCAUUUGGUCUGUCUAGAGAUGUGGUUGGCAGAUUUAUGACCCCCAAAGAUGUCUACAUCCUAAACCCAGGAAUCUGUUGCUAAGACUGAGUAAAACAAGAAAAGCAAUGGGGAACCUCACUCACAUCCAUGCUUCCUUGUCUCAUCUGUAUGUAUGAUUUUUGCACAACUUAUUUGAUACUUUGGACAUAAAGCAAGGAAUGAGACGGGGAGAUAGGAAGCUCUCUUAUUCCUAAACUCUUAUUACAGUCUCCACUGUUUCCAGCCUCCUCAUGUAUGUCCAGAGUCAACAACAGGCCUAGAAAGCUGGAAAUGGAAGCAGCAGAAACCUUUGUUCCUCCAGGGUUUAGGAUGGCAAUGGGGAACAAGUGUUCAUCCCUAUAUUGCACACAGCACUCAUCCUGUUCACAGAUCCACAGGAAAUAACUAGAGCUCAUCAGUCCUCCUAGGCCAUGAAUUUUCAAAACAAUCCUAGCACCUAUGGGGCAUCGUGGUCAUCCAAGCCCUAAGAAGGCUGCUGUCCAUCCAGUCAAGGCUAUCGGAGGGUGUCUGAGGUGUCCUCUCCCUCCUUAUCUGCACCCCUUCCCCUUCCUGCCUUCUCAGCCAGCAGCAGCAUUGCUUCAUUGAGGAAACCUGCACAACACACAAGCAACUAAGAGGCUUCUGGAUUUCAAAAGCCUGAGUUUUGAAGAUCUCAGCCUCCAGCAUUUAUGUCAUAAACAAAAUAUUUGGACCAUUGAUGGAGAGACUUUUACCCUCAGGCUAGAUUAAGAUUCACUAAUCAAGAGAAAGAAAAGAAGCAAAUCGGACCUGAAGAAGGUAGCUGAACCUUGAAGAGGGGAAUAACAGAAACUCAAGGUCAGGUGGAAAAAUCCAAGAGUACUUUACUGAGUUGUGAUGAGGAGACUCAUAGAAGCUUCACAUUUCUCUGACUGGGGCCAACAGGUCCUCCUCCCACACUCUGGACAGCCAGAUUCCUAUUUGGCAUUAAUCUGUGUGUUCCACAGUCCGCUUCUACAGCCUCAGGAAACCUCCCGUCAACACUGGGACCUCGGUAUGGGGCAAAUUUCAGGAGGAAAAGAAUAAAAGGAAUAAAAGUUAAGUCCUCCAGUAUUUUUUGGCAGAAAGGUGAGGAGCAAAGUUCCAAUGACUCAGGAUCAGUGAUAGAAGUUGUUGGUCCAUGGGGAAAAGAAUUGGGCAUCUCCAGCUCUGUGAUCUUUCUUCCAGGCCCUUGACCUGCCACCAGCAUUUUACAUACCCACGCAUACACACACAAUUAUAUUCCCCAAAAAUACUCCCCAAAGAGGAUUUCCAGAGUGCUUUUAGAUCCUUUGACAUUUCCAACCUCUCCUCCAGUGAUUUAAAAAAAAAAUCUUCACUAGAAUCAUAAUGUCUCUGGUAUUUCUUUUCAAGAAAUUCCAAUCACAUAAUUGAACAGGGUUGAGUUGUAGGAGAGGGUUAAGAAGAACAGGCUCUCUGAGUGACAGUCACACUCAGGCGCCAUCUGGCUGCAACCCACUGUAUCAACAGCCAAACCAUGAGGUCCACACAGGUUACACUGGCGGGUACGCAGAGGCAGGGACAUCUAUCUAGUAGCAAGGCGCCUCACUGUGCAGAUCUGGGCACAUAGCUUCAUCGGAAUUCCUCCCACACCAGCCUCAAACAAGCUGCCCUUUACUGAGUGAGGUUUUCAGGGGAUGCAGGCAGGCAGUUUUCCUGUCAGAUACCAUGGAGAGUGAAUACUUUGAAUAUUUUCCUUUGGAUAUUGUGAGCAAUUUUCAACAGCAAUUAUUUAAAAUAUUUAUGAAAAAAACUGGAUAAGUCUGUCAUCUGAAAAACAUGUAGGAAAUUUAGAAAUGAAUAUCCACCUCAUCAGUCAUAAAUAUCUGAGAUUCUUCAGUACUUCUGAAUUCUAAUGCUUUCAACUCCAUCCCCUACCCAAGGACCUCAACAUUGUGUCCAGAUUUAAAUUUCCCCUGGCUCUGGUAUUUAAUUCCUUACAAUGGAGAGCCAACAGCAUUUCCCGACAGAUUGGAUGUCCUGUGUGCGAGAAAAAGAGGAAUCAACAUGGCUUCAUGGCUUCUUUCCCUGAGCAACUGGAAGAUCAGGUUUGCCAUCAACUGCAACGUGGAAAGUUGCAGAAGGAGCAGGUGGAAAGGAGUUCCGUGUGAGCCUGUUGAGUUUGAGACGCCACUGUGGAAUGCGGAUUAGGCUGCAGGCUCAGUAAGUCUGCAGUUCAGGACAGAGGCCUGAGCUAGAAAUGGACAUUUGAGUGUUGUCAGGAUAUAGAUGCCCUUUAAUGCCAAGAGACUGAAUAAAGGGGUGAGUGUCAACAAGGAGGAGAGAAUCAAGUACUGAGCUCAGGGGCAUUCCAGCAUUAAAAGGUCAGGAGAGAAUGAGGAACCAGUAAGGGAGAAUGAGGAGAUUGACUAUUAAGGUAAGAGAAAAAAAAAAAAAAACUCAAGGCAUUUGGUGUACCAGAAACCAAGUGAAGUAAAUAUAUGAAAGAGCAUAGAGUGAUCACUGCAAUGAAACCAUGCCCCAAACUCCUACUUAUUUGAACAGGAUGAUAACAAUAUAUAUAACCCACAUUGGUCCUUGUUUCAGGAAACAGAGUCCUGGCUCACUAGACCUAACUAGUAGCAGGGGCCAUGUCUGCAUGAACAAAUCAUGUAGUUCAAGAUAUUCCCAUACAUAGAACAUCAAAGAUCAGCCUUGCCUAGAGUUACAUUCGUUUGAAUACUAAGUACAAGGUACUGGAAUACCUUCCAUGCAAUAGAAUCCAAUGCUGGCCACCUGUUGAGAGAGAGAUAUCCCACAGAAAGUUCACAUCCGUAAUUUCAGCCUUGACUCCCUCCCUUUCCCCACUUUGACUCCUUCCCUUUCCCCA
rnacentral:lncRNA from 10 species